rnacentral:rRNA from 1 species
UACGUAGGCAGCAAGCGUUGUUCGGAGUUACUGGGCGUAAAGGGUGCGUAGGCGGCUUCUUAAGUCUGGUGUGAAAUCUCCCGGCUUAACUGGGAGGGUGCGCUAUAGACUGUGGGACUAGAGUGUGGGAGAGGAAAGUGGAAUUCCUGGUGUAGCGGUGAAAUGCGUAGAUAUCAGGAGGAACACCGGUGGUGUAAACGGCUUUCUGGACCAUAACUGACGCUGAGGCACGAAAGCGUGGGUAGCAAACAGG